UGUUGGUAAAGAAGUUGGUUGUAAUUUUUAUUGUUAAGUUUAAUCAAUAUUAUGAAAACAACACUUAUUGCGGUUUUCAUUUUUAAGUUGAAUAUUAUAAUUGCUGAAAAUAGACAAUAUUAUUCUAGACGAAGAGAUGGUACAUAUAAUCCAAGACUUGCGUGGGAGAUUAUUAACUACGAACGAAAUAAUAUUCCGAAGUUAAGCCGUAUCAAUUUCCAAAAAGUUGAGAAAAAUAUAUUAAACGACCUCCAUCUGAAUAAAAGAUUAUCAAAUAUCAAAAAUAAUAUUACGGUAUUUUCUUAUUUGGAUUCAAUGGAUUUUGAUAAAACUCCUCAAGUGACAUACUUUGUAGAAUAUCUACCACUAAAAAACACGAACCGACAAACGACAACAGUUAAACUACCACAUAAGAUUAUGCCUAUUCCUGCUACUCCGUCAACUCGUAAUGAACUAACUGGUGUGGAUCAAAAAACUGCAAUGGGUUUAUUAGGACUUCUUCUAUUCAUAAAUUUGAUGAGAAUUUGGAUGAAGUUUGAACAAUAGAGAAUAUACACAAGUACACUGACUACUUUCCUCUUGCCUGACCUUUCAAAAAGUGAUAGACAAAAAAUUAUUUCCCCGUUUGAAUCGGGUCCAACAUAAUACGGUAUUUCAUAUUUUAUAAAAUUAUACAAAUCCUUAAAACAAUAAUUUUUUUGCUGUUAUAUGGAAUUGAUCAAUUAUAUGAUUAUAAGAAUAUCUUAUAUAUAUUAAAAGCUAUACUAAAUUGCAAUUUCAAAAACGGUAUUUAGUUAUGGUUUUUAUCAAUAUGUACUAUUUUUUCACACGAAAAGAUAUAUAAAUUUAAGUUUUUGUUACUGUUAUCUUAAAUAUUGUAAGUUCAGAUCAUAUAACAUCAGAAAUCAGACUUAAAAAUGACCUAAAAAUAUCAAACUUAUUAAGUAUUUUUCAUUAUUUCUUCUUAUAACAAUAAAUUUCUUAAUGAUCUGUGUAAUACUUUGUCCUGAUGUUCUCAUCCUUUUCAUAAGAUCAGAAUAGUUUCAUUUUAGUUUUGUAAA
rnacentral:misc_RNA from 1 species